ACGUACACUCCUACGGGAGGCAGCAGUGGGGAAUAUUGGACAAUGGGCGCAAGCCUGAUCCAGCCAUGCCGCGUGAGUGAUGAAGGCCCUAGGGUUGUAAAGCUCUUUCACCGGUGAAGAUAAUGACGGUAACCGGAGAAGAAGCCCCGGCUAACUUCGUGCCAGCAGCCGCGGUAAUACGAAGGGGGCUAGCGUUGUUCGGAUUUACUGGGCGUAAAGCGCACGUAGGCGGACUAUUAAGUCAGGGGUGAAAUCCCGGGGCUCAACCCCGGAACUGCCUUUGAUACUGGUAGUCUUGAGUUCGAGAGAGGUGAGUGGAAUUCCGAGUGUAGAGGUGAAAUUCGUAGAUAUUCGGAGGAACACCAGUGGCGAAGGCGGCUCACUGGCUCGAUACUGACGCUGAGGUGCGAAAGCGUGGGGGGCAAACAGGAUUAGAUACCCGUGUAGUCCCAUGAU
rnacentral:rRNA from 1 species